rnacentral:tRNA from 1 species
UAAUAAAAGUUAAAAUUUAAUUUUACAAUGAAAAUGUAAUGUUUUUUUUAAACUAUGUUAAUAGAAAU